GGAAAUAAGAUGAUGUGCCAACACCACAUCGUUGAGUAGAUUUCAGUGCAGCCAUGGAGGGACUGACGAUUCGUGAGUGCUGUCCUCUCGGCUCUUGGUUCGAUCUGCCAUGGGCACGCCGGCGGCAAAGACUCGCCGGAGAUCUGCGCCUGCACGUACUCGUGCUGCUACGACAGAUUCUCUAUUCUCUGCGGCGUCCUCUUCUCCGCACCUGGAUGUGGACCUUCCUCGAGUUGAGGGUUUUGGACUCGGCCGCCAUCGGUGUGGGACCGGUCCAUGGCAUGGCAGCUCGACUGGAGUCGCGCCGGCGAGCUUUGCCGAUUGAGGGCAUGCCGCCGGGAGGAGCUGCACGACGCCUUUCCCAAGAAAGCACUGAUGGGUUCAGUUGUCGAUCAGGGUAUCUUGUUCUCAAACCGACUUAUGCUCCCUUUGUGCUAAAGAAAAAGAUAAUCUUGACUGGCCGCGCAUGAUGUGUUCAGUUGAUCACUUGAUCGGAAUCUCAACUCUGAAUAUCAUCAGUGUGCAUUUCGUAAAUUACUGGAGGGAGAAACAUGAUAAUCCCUUUUCCGGGAUUGAUUAAUCUUGAGCCACGGAUUACUGGGUAAUGGGUAUAUAUGACGAGAAACAGAAACUGAACUGACGACGAGGAUCGCUUUGAGCUUCGUUUCAGAAGAACCGUGAGGCAAGAGCCAGGAAUAUAUUCAGCUGCUGCUGCUGGCAAUUCACUGUUCCAAUAUCUCCUUCCACGAUGCUCCAUCAACAAUUCCUUUCCCCGAGAGGCAUGUGGAUCGAACCUGCAAGAUUGAGAAGCGCUUUAUCCUUGCAGGGCUCAUCCGCCGCCGACUGUUGCGCGAUGCCCCUCCGGCCGCAAUAAUUGGCGCACCCACCAAUCACCCACUGUUCUGUUGUGUGCUCUCUCCUCUUCUGUUCUCGCCGUGCAAAGUUACACGACGGGCGUGGGCGCCCGCGAGCCGUCGUUUUCGUCAUCAGCUUCAAUGAUUUUGCUUGCGCCCAUCUGCAACUGCAAUGCAGGUUCGAUUAGAUCUCUAGGCGGCGCAGGCAGUAUGGAGACGACCCGUGCACAGGUGCGGCGGUCAUGUCGCCCCCCCGAUCGCACGAGAUUCUGAUUCGGCGUGUUCCUUGUUCUGUUCUGGAGAAGGAGGCCUCAGGUUUUCCGUCCGAGCGCCUGCCUCUCUGAAUUAUUGGCCCUGGAUUCUGCAGACCUGAGCACUAACAGUCCAACACUACCUGAUCAGUCAGGUUAGUUACGCUAAACUGGUACCAAAAGCGCCUAAUUUUUUUAUUUCUAAACCAAGGUGCUUAUUGAUGCCUCCAACAGUCGGUGAGUGGCAACCUUUUGCACAGUGCCCAGCACAAACUGUUCAAAAACGCUUCAUUCAUCACUGAUAUUUCUGCAUGCCUCAUCUCCUUGCAUAUAUGCAGCCCUUCUUCAUCCCAUCCCUGAAAAAAGCAAAAUGAUUACAUGUAACUUUGUGAAGAUCGAACAUCCUUGCUGCUGCGGUAUCAUGGCCGACAGACACCCAGCCUACAUAGAGUGCUCGAGAGUAAAGCGAAUGAAAUCACUGCAGCAAAAUUCCCUUUUCCCUCCAAAAGAUCGCCGGCCUCUCUCUCUCUCUUCCCUCCUCCUCGGUCUGUCUAUCCAUAUUCCUGCUCCCAAAGCUGGUGGUGGUCCCGAGCUCGCUUGCGUCCAUUCUUUCCGGGCAUCGCCAUGCGUCCCCCGCCACGCCGCCGGGGCUAUUUAUACCCCUCCGCUCGCCCCCGCCAUUCCUCAUCACAAGCGAAGCAGAGCACACAAGAAGCAGCACUCCACCUUCUUCAGCCGCGCUACCUGCUUCCUUCCUCGCUCGUGAUCACCGAGAGGAUAUGUCUUGCUGCGGCGGCAACUGCGGGUGCGGCUCCGGCUGCAAGUGCGGCAACGGAUGCGGCGGCUGCAAGAUGUCCCCUGACGUGGAGGCCUCCUCCUCCACCACCACCACCAUGGUCAUCGCCGCCGCCAGCAGCAAGGCGAGCUCCGGCGGGUUCGAGGCGGCCACCGAGGGCGGCGGCUGCGACUGCAACACCUGCAAGUGCGGCACCAGCUGCGGCUGCUCCUGCUGCAGCUGCAACUGAGGCGGCCAUGCGCCGCCGCCAUGGAGCACGAGGAGGAAGGAGAAGCCCCCGGCGUAGUAUAUAGUAGCAGCGCGUCUAAAUAAGAACUUGCCAACUGCGCCAUCCAUCAUCUAUCGUGUCGUGUCGUGACAUUCAUGGUCGCCUGCCGUGUCUCAGCUGGGGUUGUCGAUCUGAACGUCUCUGCUGAUCGACGACGCAUGCCGGUCGUCGAUCUUAGCUUGUGUGUCCGUCCUCCUCGUGCACGCCACCUCUCCUUUAAUAUAUGUAUUUCAGAACUA